rnacentral:rRNA from 1 species
GACGAACGCUGGCGGCGUGCUUAACACAUGCAAGUCGAACGGAAAGGCCCUGCUUUUGUGGGGUGCUCGAGUGGCGAACGGGUGAGUAACACGUGAGUAACCUGCCCUUGACUUUGGGAUAACUUCAGGAAACUGGGGCUAAUACCGGAUAGGAGCUCCUGCUGCAUGGUGGGGGUUGGAAAGUUUCGGCGGUUGGGGAUGGACUCGCGGCUUAUCAGCUUGUUGGUGGGGUAGUGGCUUACCAAGGCUUUGACGGGUAGCCGGCCUGAGAGGGUGACCGGCCACAUUGGGACUGAGAUACGGCCCAGACUCCUACGGGAGGCAGCGGUGGGGAAUAUUGCACAAUGGGUGGAAGCCUGAUGCAGCAACGCCGCGUGCGGGAUGACGGCCUUCGGGUUGUAAACCGCUUUCGCCUGUGACGAAGCGUGAGUGACGGUAAUGGGUAAAGAAGCACCGGCUAACUACGUG